UCUCUACGGUUUGCUAUAUAUAUAUGUGGUGUGAACAAGUGAACUGAAUGAAUGUGACUUUAUCUUAUGUGGCAUGUAUACUAAUAUCAUGAUUUUUGCGAAUACAUCGAAGAUUUCUUUCUAGUUUUUGCAACCAUGAUAACUUUAUGUCAUCAAGCUUCCAGAAAUCUCUAAUAAAUAUCUAAAUUUGUUAUUUAUUUCAGAUAUACAAGCUGGAAUUAGAGCAGAAACGAUUAGAGGAGGAUGCUUUUGUUUAUAACUGACUUCAAUACCAGCUUAAACUCUCACCACUCACCAGCAUACACCACAAGAAAGAUGCUUGAAAUUGGAGCUUGUGUCGAGAAGGCAAAAGUGUGAACGGGGAGAGAACAGAGAUGAUGAAUUUAUUGACAUUUCGUUUGAAGAACUAUCAGCACAAGAGAAGGAUUCAUUAUUGACAUUUAUGGUUGGAAGGGUUGGCUAACUGUAAGUCUGUAACCUUAGUUUAGUGUGUACAUCCAAUAUCUAUAAUAGUGUAGUCGCACAGGAAUGUUCUUUUUUGUUGUAUGGAAUAUAGAUGAUACAACAAUAUCAAAGAUCAGAACAUUCAAAUUAGUUCCCAAAAUCAAGAAUCGAGCAAGUCAAUUUUUA